rnacentral:rRNA from 1 species
AUUGAACGCUGGCGGCAGGCUUAACACAUGCAAGUCGAGCGGGGAGAUGUAGCUUGCUACAUAUCCUAGCGGCGGACGGGUGAGUAAUGCUUAGGAAUCUGCCUAUUAGUGGGGGACAACAUUCCGAAAGGAAUGCUAAUACCGCAUACGCCCUACGGGGGAAAGCAGGGGAUCUUCGGACCUUGCGCUAAUAGAUGAGCCUAAGUCGGAUUAGCUAGUUGGUGGGGUAAAGGCCUACCAAGGCGACGACCUGUAGCGGGUCUGAGAGGAUGAUCCGCCACACUGGGACUGAGACACGGCCCAGACUCCUACGGGAGGCAGCAGUGGGGAAUAUUGGACAAUGGGCGCAAGCCUGAUCCAGCCAUGCCGCGUGUGUGAAGAAGGCCUUUUGGUUGUAAAGCACGUUAAGCGAGGAGGAGGCUCCUUUAGUUAAUACCUAAAGAGAGUGGACGUUACUCGCAGAAUAAGCACCGGCUAACUCUGUG